UACGUAGGUGACAAGCGUUGUCCGGAUUUACUGGGCGUAAAGAGCGCGCAGGCGGUCGUUCAAGUCGAGUGUGAAAGCCCCCGGCUCAACUGGGGAGGGUCAUUCGAUACUGAUCGACUCGAAGGCAGGAGAGGGUAGUGGAAUUCCCGGUGUAGUGGUGAAAUGCGUAGAUAUCGGGAGGAACACCAGUGGCGAAGGCGACUACCUGGGCUGUUCUUGACGCUGAGGCGCGAAAGCUAGGGGAGCAAACGGG
rnacentral:rRNA from 1 species